rnacentral:rRNA from 1 species
AUACGUAGGUGGCAAGCGUUGUCCGGAAUUACUGGGUGUAAAGGGCGUGUAGGCGGGGAUGCAAGUCAGAUGUGAAAUUCCGGGGCUCAACCCCGGCACUGCAUCUGAAACUGUGUCUCUUGAGUGCUGGAGAGGAAAGCGGAAUUCCUAGUGUAGCGGUGAAAUGGGUAGAUAUUAGGAGGAACACCAGUGGCGAAGGCGGUUUUCUGGACAGUAACUGACGCUGAGGCGCGAAAGGGUGGGUAGCGAACAGGAUUAGAUACCCUGGUAGUCCACGCCGUAAACGAAGGAUACUAGGUGUAGGAGGUAUCGACCCCGUCUGUGCCGGAGUUAACACAAUAAGUAUCCCACCUGGGGAGUAAGGCCGCAAGGUUGAAACUCAAAGGAAUUGACGGGG